rnacentral:rRNA from 1 species
UACGGAGGGUGCGAGCGUUGUCCGGAAUCACUGGGCGUAAAGGGCGCGUAGGUGGCGCGGGAAGUCAACGGUGAAAGCUCGGGGCUCAACCCUGAAUCGGCCGUCGAUACUCCCGGGCUCGAGCACUGUAGAGGCAGAUGGAAUUCCGGGUGUAGCGGUGGAAUGCGUAGAGAUCCGGAAGAACACCGGUGGCGAAGGCGGUCUGCUGGGCAGUUGCUGACACUGAGGCGCGACAGCGUGGGGAGCAAACAGG